GAGACGUCACGACCAGUGUGCAUCCGGUACAUCACGGCGGUGUCGUGCUCAUCUGGAGUACGUUUCAUCACUGUCUCCGUGGGUGUAGUCAACAAAUCUCUCGUAAUCCAUGAACAUCGACAUUGGUCGGCGACAUGUUCGUCAGCUAGUUUAUGGGAGAGAAAUCCACAUCAUAGGUAGAUUAAAUCCGAAAAAGUAAACUAAUUGCAAAAACGGAAUCGUGAUAACGAGAGAAAUUCAUUUUUACAAAGAGGAGGUCGGAUUUAUACCUCCGUGCGAUCGACGAGAGCCUGCUUGAUGCAGGCUUGACGCGCGCUCGAUGGAGAGUUGGUGGAGCGAAGCGUUCUCAUAACGUGUUCCGCAACUCGUGCCGGCGAGUCCGGUCCAAGGUUGCGGAGCGGGAACGGGCGUCGUAGACAAUCACAGAAAAUAGAAGACACAAGGUGUAGGGAGGAACCAAUCUUUAUUAAUGAUCAACUUUGUUACAAUGAUUGUCUCUUCUCUGUUUAUAUAGGGGUAUGGAAUGAAGGGAUAGAAAAACCCUAUAUGACGCACAUUACGUCAAGUUGUCGAGCAAUCGCAGAGGGAUUGACAAGUGAGCGAUGACCUGGGCCAGCCUAUUCAGCACUUCGUUGAUCCCGGUUUUUCCCGGUUUUGCGAACAUUCUGGAAGAUUCCUUGAACUGGUUUUUUUU
rnacentral:lncRNA from 1 species